AAUAUUGGAAAAUGGGGGCAACCCUGAUACAGCCAGGCCGCGUGUGUGAAGAAGGUCAUCGGUUUGUCAAUCACUUUACGUUGGGAGAAAGGGCAGUAAGUUAAUACCUUGCUGUUUUGACGUUACCGACAGAAUAAGCACCGGCUAACUUCGUGCCAGCAGCAGCGGUAAUACAGAGGGUGCAAGCGUUAAUAAGAAUUACGGGGCGUAAAGCGCGCGUAGGUGGUUUGUUAAGUUGGAGAUGAAAGCCCCGGGCUCAAUCUGGGAACUGCUUUCAAAACUGGCAAGCUAGAGUAUGGCAGAGGGUGGUGGAAUUUCCUGUGUAGCGGUGAAAUGCGUAGAUAUAGGAAGGAACACCAGUGGCGAAGGCGACCACCUGGGCUAAUACUGACACUGAGGUGCGAAAGCGUGGGGAGCAAAC
rnacentral:rRNA from 1 species